rnacentral:lncRNA from 1 species
UGUAAAUUGAGCACGUGUUUAACAUGUAAAUUCAGAUAAUAGUUUAUUUUAAGGACAUCCAUGCGUAUUGUGGUCACCGGAUUUUUACGAGAUGGGUCACACUGAGGUCACCUUGCAUACGGAAAAUAUGUCGGGGGAAUUGCUUGCUGGAAGGAAGCAAUUCAAAUAAAGUAAACUUCUUCUAAAUAUGAAUAAAUUAAAGAAUUUUCUUCAGAAAAAAGUAUAUGUACAUAAGUUUUACUAUGAAAACUAUCCAUUGAGUUAUAAAAAACAUAUGCA